AACGAACGCUGGCGGCGUGCCUAACACAUGCAAGUCGAACGGGAAAACCCGCAAGGGUGAGUACAGUGGCGCACGGGUGCGUAACACGUGGGUAAUCUGCCCAGAAGCCCGGAAUAACUCCCCGAAAGGGGUGCUAAUGCCGGAUGAGACCACGGGGACUUCGGUUCCUGGGGGAAAGGUGGCCUCUGUAUACAAGCUAUCACUUCUGGAUGAGCCCGCGGCCCAUCAGCUAGUUGGCGGGGUAAUGGCCCACCAAGGCUACGACGGGUAGCUGGUCUGAGAGGACGAUCAGCCACACUGGAACUGAGACACGGUCCAGACUCCUACGGGAGGCAGCAGUGGGGAAUCUUGCGCAAUGGGCGAAAGCCUGAUGCAGCAACGCCGCGUGUGUGAUGAAGGUCUUCGGAUCGUAAAGCACUGUCGGGAGGGACGAAUAAGGGCCGGGUGAACAAUCCGGUUCGACGACGGUACCUCCAGAGGAAGCACCGGCUAACUCUGUGCCAGCAGCCGCAGUAAGAC
rnacentral:rRNA from 1 species